AUACGGAGGGUGCAAGCGUUACUCGGAAUCACUGGGCGUAAAGCGCGCGCAGGCGGCCAUUUAAGUUGGAUGUGAAAGCCUACGGCUCAACCGUAGAACUGCAUCCAAAACUAUUUGGCUAGAGUGUGGGAGAGGAAGAUGGAAUUAGUUGUGUAGGGGUAAAAUCCGUAGAGAUAACUAGGAAUAACAAAAGCGAAGGCAAUCUUCUGGAACAUUACUGACGCUGAGGCGCGAAAGCGUGGGGAGCAAACAGGAUUAGAAACCCCGGUAGUCC
rnacentral:rRNA from 1 species